GAAUGCGCGCUCUUAGUGGGCCAUUUUUGGUAAGCAGAACUGGCGAUGCGGGAUGAACCGAACGCCGAGUUAAGGUGCCAAAAGUGCACGCUCAUGAGACACCACAAAAGGUGUUGGUUCAUCUAGACAGCAGGGCGGUGGCCAUGAAAGUCGGCAUCCGCCAAGGAGUGUGUUACGACUCACCUGCCGAAUGAACUAGCCCUGAAAAUGGAUGGCGCUGAAGCGUGCGACCGAUACUCGGCCGCUCGUGCAGACGCGCGAGCGAGUAGGAGGGCGUGGGGUUGUGAGAAAGGCUGGCAGCGAUGCUGGCUGGAACGGCCCCUAGUGCAGAUCUUGGUGGUAGUAGCAAAUAUUCAAAUGGGAACUUUGAAGACUGAAGUGGAGAAAGGUUCCGUGUGAACAGUGCUUGGACACGGGUGAGUCGAUCCUAAGAGACGGGUUAACUGUGUUAACGGCGCAAUGCGCGCCAGUGUCGAAAGG
rnacentral:rRNA from 1 species